CCUCCACAUCUUGGCAUACAUGUUGUUGCUAAGUUCUUGUGUAUGUAAUGUACAGAGGUAGAACAAAGCCAGCGCUAUAUCUUUGGUACAGUGUGUGUUAUCGUCUGCUGGUCCUAUCCUCAAUAGCUGACACACUU
rfam:Salmo salar isolate Sally breed double haploid chromosome ssa18, whole genome shotgun sequence.